CCUACGGGAGGCAGCAGUGGGGAAUAUUGCACAAUGGGGGAAACCCUGAUGCAGCCAUGCCGCGUGUAUGAAGAAGGCCUUCGGGUUGUAAAGUACUUUCAGCGAGGAGGAAGGCGGUAAGAUUAAUAACCUUAUCGAUUGACGUUACUCGCAGAAGAAGCACCGGCUAACUCCGUGCCAGCAGCCGCGGUAAUACGGAGGGUGCAAGCGUUAAUCGGAAUUACUGGGCGUAAAGCGCACGCAGGCGGUUUGUUAAGUCAGAUGUGAAAUCCCCGAGCUUAACUUGGGAACUGCAUUUGAAACUGGCAAGCUAGAGUCUCGUAGAGGGGGGUAGAAUUCCAGGUGUAGCGGUGAAAUGCGUAGAGAUCUGGAGGAAUACCGGUGGCGAAGGCGGCCCCCUGGAC
rnacentral:rRNA from 1 species